GGCCUCGUAGCUCAGUUGGCUAGAGCGUCGGCUGAACUCAAGCCUUCCUCUUGCUGGCGUGGGUUCGAAUUCCACCAAGGCCG
rnacentral:tRNA from 1 species